ACAAACACCCCGGAAUGUUACUGAACUACACUUCUGACAUCCGUAUAUAAAAUUUCGACAGCAUCUCCUUUGCAAAAUAGCAUAAAGGAGGGGGCAACAGUGUAUAAACAUGUAUCAUGACAAAAAAACAUACUAAGUAUUAUUAAACGGCUAGCAAAGGAAAGUUAAACAUACGACAUGAACUGAAUUAACCAGUGCGCAUGACUAGUAAAAAAAACAAACAUCCUUUGACAUCAAGUUUCUAAUUAAAUCAUGGAUGCGCUUGGGCAGCCUUAAUAUGAGAGUGAAAGUGGACGUGCUGCUACUCCCCUCAUUCCCCACAUAUAUCAAGUACCUGCAUUGAGUAAUGCAAGAGUGAGAUGACACAUCUCAGCAAGUAAAAUAAUAACAAACUGUUUAACCACAUAAGAACAUUGUUUUACCACCAUUUGAUUUCGCAACCUUCUUAUUACGAAGGUGCAGCACGAAUACAACGUACAACACACCUAGUUACCACACCUCGCAGGUAGAAACCACAAUAGUAACAUAGUAAUGUCACACUUCAUAUAUACCUCAUGAGUGCAAAUGUCUGCAAAUGCAAGGAUGACUUCUGCCUUCAUACCUCUAAGGGUAUGAAGCCGCAUCGUACCCCUCCUCGGGCAACGUACGAUGCUAAAAGUGUACCGGUACGGUCGGACCAUAAGAUCACGACAUAACUUCAAAAUGCAAUAUGGAUGAUGCGAUGUGCAUGACAUGCCUACAACACUUCAUACAACGUGAUUCAAAAAGAUACUUCAACUUCAUCCAAGAUGGGAAUCAACCACAUAUAUCAUUCCCAAAUCAUGAUCAUCCUCAAUAUUAGACAAUUGAGAAUUAAUUCUUUCGAACAAAUAAACUUCAUCAUAGAAUUCAAUGAUUAACACAUUUAAUACUUAUGCAUACUCAAUGACAAGGCAUAGGGUGCAAACCAAACGGUAGCAACCACCACUGUAUUUACUUGCCUUCACCGGGAAUUUGGAAUGGUACUAAGUACGAUCCGGAAGUCCACCACCUGUUUUUGACACACACCUUAGUGUACAAAUCAACAUAACAAACGCUAAUAAACAACGCCGCACCUACGCACAAUUCCAACCCGUUGCGAGCGACAACUCUCCCCAUCACCACCAAACUGCAGCGGUGCUGCUUGAUAAUUUCAUAACUUUAAAAUUAUAACAGCAGUGAUAUCAAUCAAAAACUACGGAAGCAUUUACAUAAAAUUUCCCACAAGUUUUAUAUUCAAAUGAUAAUUAAAUUCCAGCAUCUAAUUAGCCCAAACUCGUCUACAAGAUACACCCUGCAAUCUGUUUUUGGACAGCAACAUAACCGGAUUCAAACAGCGAUAUCUCCUAAAUUAUAACUCCGAAUCGAACGCAUAAGUACUCGUUGGAAAGGUAUGACAAGGCUCUACAUGAUUCUCAUAUUGAUUAUCACCAAUUUCCCACGAAAAAUUCCCAGAAACUGCUAAUACUACUGCUGUUCGCCCACCUGCAAAAAUCUGUUUUUUUUGGACAGCAACAUACCCGGAUUCAAACAGCAAUAUCUCCUAAAAUAUAACUCCGAAUCGAGUGCAUAAGUACUCGUUGGAAAGGUAUGACAAAGCUCUAAAUGAUUCUCAUAUUGAUUAUCACUAAGUUCCCACGAAAAAUCCCCAGAAACUGCUAAUACUACUGCUGUUUGCCCACCUGCAAAAUCUGUUUUUUUUGGACAGCAACAUACCCGGAUUCAAACAGCAAUAUCUCCUAAAAUAUAACUCCGAAUCGAGUGCAUAAGUACUCGUUGGAAAGGUAUGACAAAGCUCUAAAUGAUUCUCAUAUUGAUUAUCACUAAGUUCCCACGAAAAAUCCCCAGAAACUGCUAAUACUACUGCUGUUUGCCCACCUGCAAAAUCUGUUUUUUUUGGACAGCAACAUACCCGGAUUCAAACAGCGAUAUCUCCUAAAAUAUAACUCCGAAUCGAGCGCAUAAGUACUCGUUGGAAAGGUAUGAAAAAGCUCUACAUGAUUCUCCCACUGAUUCCCACUAAUUACCCACGAAAUAUUCCCAGAAUCUGCUAGAACUACUGCUGUUCGCGCACCCACAAAAUUUCUGGACAGCACCUCUACCAAUUCGCAUACGUAAACAUCUAAUCGAUUGAAUUGCAGCACAAAUAAACAAGAGUUAAUCACAAAAUCACCUUGGGUUCCUCCUUUCCUCCUUCCUUCCUCCCACCAAUUCUCCAAUCGGAACUUGCACCCACACGAAGAAGAUCCGGCGAGGAAGGACAUCACUUGGAGAGGAGGAGAUGGGAGGGGGGUGGCGGCUAGGGUUGAGGGGAUGGGGGCUGCUGCACAAGAGAGAGGGAAUUAGGGGGAAGGGGAUGGCGUCCAAAGGCUAGAGAGGGG
rnacentral:lncRNA from 1 species